UAACCAAACGACCCCUACACUCCUCUUCAACCAAGCGUAACCCUAACCAGCCCCUAGCCAAAAUUGUCGUCACUUCCAUCACGUCGCCUCACCACCACCACACCCGUCGGACCACCGGAUAAAGAACAAACAUCACCUCCGCUAUCAACCCCAGUCCCUUUCUCCCAUUUUCUCCAAGUGAUAGAGCUUCGAACAGCUCGUCCAAGUCGAAUCAGCCCCCCAGAUCGAAAAGCACGCGAAUAUCUUUGGGAUUUUAGGCCGUUCUUCCAACAAUCCAUAGGGUAAAGGCUCGUUUCAAUCUGUUGGAGCCUAAAACCAUGAAGAAACCACUAGAUUCGGACCUCUAGCCUUCAAAUCGCUCUGAAAUGGAUUGCUUUAAGCGGGUUCGGAGACUAGACAACGACACUAGCCUCAGUUCGCUGUCCCAAAGAAGGUGGACAGGGAGAUAGACUUGAUCCUUAAGCUGCAUAUCCAGAGAUUGCCUAGAGGAGCUCCAUUUGAUCCGGAGCUGCAGCUGUUGGUACUAUUCUUUUAUGUAUAUACAUAUGGGCAUGGCGGGGCCCUGUCCCGCCUAUAUGAUGAUGUUUCAUACUCUUCUUAGAGGCUCGUAGACAGUUGUGUAUAGCUAGAUGUCCCUUAGCCUUAUCGGCUCGUAUUUUGUAUAUCAUUUUAUUAGCCUUGUUGGCUUGCAUAUAUAUAUGUGUACGGGCAUAGUUGAGGAUGUAUAAGUAAAAGUUCCU